GGGACGUUUGAAGUGGUAGAAGCAGAGCGUCUCCUAUUAGCAAACGCAUUGCUGGACUUGUCCAACCAACGCUUUGUUCUCCUCUCAGAGUCAUGCAUUCCUCUGUUCAACUUCUCCACAAUCUACAAUUACUUAAUGGGAACAUCAAAAUCUUUUCUGGAGGUUUAUGACCAGCCCGGGCCGAUCGGCCGUGACCGCUAUAACCCACGAAUGAGUCCCACAAUCCAGCUUGAUCAAUGGCGAAAGGGCUCC
rnacentral:misc_RNA from 1 species